rnacentral:misc_RNA from 1 species
GAUGAAGAACGUAGCGAAAUGCGAUAAGUAAUGUGAAUUGCAGAAUUCAGUGAAUCAUCGAAUCUUUGAACGCACAUUGCGCCCGCCAGUAUUCUGGCGGGCAUGCCUGUUCGAGCGUCAUUUCAACCCUCAAGCCCCAGUGGCCUGGUGUUGGGGACCGGCGACCUCGCCCGGGGGAACACCCCCGGCGCGUCCGCCGCCCCCGAAAUGAAUUGGCGGCCCCGUCGCGGCCUCCUCUGCGUAGUAGCACAACCUCGCAGCGGGAGCGCGACGCGGCCACUGCCGUAAAACGCCCAACUUUUUUUUAGAGUUGACCUCGGAUCAGGUAGGAAUACCCGCUGAACUUAAGCAUAUCAUAAGCGGAGGA